CAGAGUUGAGGAGAAGCAACAUGACCAGGGCGGAGUUGAGGAGAAGCAACAUGACCAGGGCAGAGUUGAGGAGAAGCAACAUGACCAGGGCAGAGUUGAGGAGAAGCAACAUGACCAGGUCAGAGUUGAGGAGAAGCAACAUGACCAGGGCAGAGUUGAGGAGAAGCAACAUGACCAGGUCAGAGUUGAGGAGAAGCAACAUGACCAGGUCAGAGUUGAGGAGAAGCAACAUGACCAGGUCAGAGUUGAGGAGAAGCAACAUGACCAGGUCAGAGUUGAGGAGAAGCAACAUGACCAGGUCAGAGUUGAGGAGAAGCAACACACUGUAGAUGUAAGUCGAGGAGAAGCGACAUGACCUGGGUAGAGUUGAGGAGAAGCAACAUGACCAGGGCGGAUUUGAUGAGAAGCAACAUGACCAGGGCAGAGUUGACGAGAAGCAACAUGACCAGGGCAGAGUUGAGGAGAAGCAACAUGACCAGGGCGGAGUUGAGGAGAAGCAACAUGACCAGGGCGGAGUUGAGGAGAAGCAACACGACCAGGGCAGAGUUGAGGAGAAGCAACAUACUGUAGAUGUAAGUCGAGGAGAAGCAACAUACUGUAGAU